GACGAACGCUGGCGGCGUGCCUAAUACAUGCAAGUAGAACGCUGAAGGAGGAGCUUGCAUCUCCGGAUGAGUUGCGAACGGGUGAGUAACGCGUAGGUAACCUGCCUGGUAGCGGGGGAGAACUAUUGGAAACGAUAGCUAAUACCGCAUAACAGUAGAUGUUGCAUGACAUUUGCUUAAAAGGUGCAAUUGCAUCACUACCAGAUGGACCUGCGUUGUAUUAGCUAGUUGGUGAGGUAACGGCUCACCAAGGGGACGAUACAUAGCCGACCUGAGAGGGUGAUCGGCCAAACUGGGACUGAGACACGGCCCAGACUCCUACGGGAGGCAGCAGGAGGGAAUCUUCGGCAAUGGACGGAAGUCUGAACGAGCAACGCCGCGUGAGUGAAGAAGGUUGUCGGAUCGUAAAGCUCUGUUGUAAGAGAAGAACGAGUGUGAGAGUGGAAAGUGCACACUGUGACGGUAUCUUACCAGAAAGGGACGGCUAACUACGUG
rnacentral:rRNA from 1 species